rnacentral:rRNA from 1 species
CCAGGAUGUUGGCUUAGAAGCAGCCAUCAUUUAAAGAAAGCGUAAUAGCUCACUGGUCGAGUCGGCCUGCGCGGAAGAUGUAACGGGGCUAAACCAUGCACCGAAGCUGCGGCAGCGACGCUGAUGCGUUGUUGGGUAGGGGAGCGUUCUGUAAGCCUGUGAAGGUGUGUCGUGAGGCAUGCUGGAGGUAUCAGAAGUGCGAAUGCUGACAUAAGUAACGAUAAAGCGGGUGAAAAGCCCGCUCGCCGGAAGACCAAGGGUUCCUGUCCAACGUUAAUCGGGGCAGGGUGAGUCGACCCCUAAGGCGAGGCCGAAAGGCGUAGUCGAUGGGAAACGGGUUAAUAUUCCCGUACUUGGUGUUACUGCGAAGGGGGGACGGAGAAGGCUAUGUUGGCCGGGCGACGGUUGUCCCGGUUUAAGCGUGUAGGUGUGUGUUCCAGGUAAAUCCGGUUCACUUUAACACUGAGGCGUGACGACGAGGCACUACGGUGCUGAAGCAACAAAUGCCCUGCUUCCAGGAAAAGCCUCUAAGCAUCAGGUAACAUCAAAUCGUACCCCAAACCGACACAGGUGGUCAGGUAGAGAAUACCAAGGCGCUUGAGAGAACUCGGGUGAAGGAACUAGGCAAAAUGGUGCCGUAACUUCGGGAGAAGGCACGCUGACACGUAGGUGAAGUGAUUUACUCACGGAGCUGAAGUCAGUCGAAGAUACCAGCUGGCUGCAACUGUUUAUUAAAAACACAGCACUGUGCAAACACGAAAGUGGACGUAUACGGUGUGACGCCUGCCCGGUGCCGGAAGGUUAAUUGAUGGGGUCAGCGCAAGCGAAGCUCCUGAUCGAAGCCCCGGUAAACGGCGGCCGUAACUAUAACGGUCCUAAGGUAGCGAAAUUCCUUGUCGGGUAAGUUCCGACCUGCACGAAUGGCGUAAUGAUGGCCAGGCUGUCUCCACCCGAGACUCAGUGAAAUUGAACUCGCUGUGAAGAUGCAGUGUACCCGCGGCAAGACGGAAAGACCCCGUGAACCUUUACUAUAGCUUGACACUGAACAUUGAGCCUUGAUGUGUAGGAUAGGUGGGAGGCUUUGAAGUGUGGACGCCAGUCUGCAUGGAGCCGACCUUGAAAUACCACCCUUUAAUGUUU